GAUCCAAGACUAAAUGAAGGGGGAGAAAAAUAUUUCUUUGCAGAUUUGUUUUCCUUUCAGAAGCUGGAAGUUAAAAGGGAGGAGUACUAGAAACUGAGGGAGACUUGAGUCAUUUCAUGGGGGUCAACUGGAGCCCAGGAAUGCCUUUUCCUUUUGGCAAGACUUCUGCAGCCAUGUGUGUUUACUGUGGACCUCUAGCUGGAAAUGCAGAGAUGCCUGAUCUGAUUAUCUCUGCUUCUGCUUCUUUACGCUGCGCUGCAUGUGGUCUGCUUUUUACAACCCAGGAUUCACACAAUGAAUGUAAGGCUCCGUGCAGUCGCCCUUGUAGUUUUAAUCUCCCCUCGCCCAGGUUUUAAAAGGAAGGCUGGUGCGCCUUUAUGCCUGGAUUAAUGCUGGUAUGUGACUUAAUUAAUUAAAUAGCGUAAUCCAUCCAAAGAAACCCGCUUCUCUCCCCUCAGAUUGCUGUUCCUCAUUUCUCACACAGCAAGGCUGUUUCUUGUGAUGCACCUAAUUGAGGGUACCUCUCCCUCAGCAGAUGGAAAGCUGCCUUUUAGCCACACUCGUGUAUAAAUUGUUUUGGGGGCAGAUGUUUGUCAGGGAUGCUUUUUCCUUUCCUGAGAGGAAGGUUAACAAAAUAUUUAAACUGUAACAUA